rnacentral:rRNA from 1 species
AUUGAACGCUGGCGGCGGGCCUAACACAUGCAAGUCGAGCGGACGAAGGGAGCUUGCGCCUGGCUUCAGCGGCGGACGGGUGAGUAAUGCCUAGGAAUCUGCCUGGUAGUGGGGGAUAACGUCCGGUAACGGGCGCUAAUACCGCAUACGUCAUGAGGGAGAAAGUGAGGGAUCUUCGGACCACACGCUAUUUGAUGAGCCUAGGUCGGAUUAGCUAGUUGGUGGGGUAAAGGCCUACCAAGGCGACGAUCCAUAACUGGUCUGAGAGGAUGAUCAGUCACACUGGAACUGAGACACGGUCCAGACUCCGACGGGGGGCAGCAGUGGGGAAUAUUAGACAAUGGGCGAAAGCCUGAUCCAGCCAUGCCGCGUGUGUGAAGAAGGUCUUCGGAUGGGAAAGCACUUUAAGUUGGGAGGAAGGACAGUAAGUUAAUACCUUGCUGUUUUGACGUUACCAACAGAAUAAGCACCGGCUAACUUCGUG